UUGACCUCAAAUCAGGUAGGACUACCCGCU
rnacentral:ncRNA from 21 species